ensembl:lncRNA
AGUUCUCCUUGGCUUUUAUCUCAGUCAGGUUCUACCACUGAUAACCUUAGGACUCAGUACAGGCUUAAGGUGAAUCUCUAUUGUAUUAACCAUGCGACCUCAGGAAACCAACAAUGAAGUGACCAAAUUAGGGACUACCUACUACACGGUGAUGGAGAGGGCCCUCUUAACACCCCGUGAAAAAUACAGCGAGCCUAUCACCGAUAGCAUGAACAUUGGAUGGCAUGUCAACAAGGAGAACACAGCAGAGGCUUCAGUUCAAAGGAAAUUUGGAAGGCGGGUCACUGAUGUUACCAGUUUUUCGAGCAAUUUUCCCAUGUGCCGCCAGCAUAGUCCUCCCCCAAGGAAGACCACCGCCGAUCACCCACGCCCCGUCAUGGGGCGGGCCCCCAAAACCAGCACAGACUGGAGGACAGCAGACCCCAAAGCACCAGCCCCACCAGCUACCCAUUACAAUAUGAUGGAGAGGGCCCGCUUAACGCCCCAUGAAAAAUACACCCAGCCUAUCACCA